rnacentral:lncRNA from 1 species
UACAAGGGGCCCGGAGAGGUCUGUCCCGGGGCCCGGGCUGGCUCUCGGCGGCCCUGUGGACAGUCUCACUUCCGCUGCUAGUCUCGGCGAGCAAUGGACAGUCUCACUUCCGCUUCAAACAAAUCUUGACUCUCAGUGGAUUGAAACUUUUGUGUUAGCGGCCUGUAGCAUGAAUUAGAGCCGCUGGCCACUCGUCCUGCUCUUUCCAUGUACCUGCCCGCGGAAGCGAAACAAAAAAAAAAAACAACAACUGACACCGAAACAUUUGAUACUUGAACAGUAGCAUCCACGCAAAUGUAUAAACCACCUCAUGGUUGUUUAUUUAUUAUUAUUGUUGUUGUUGUUACACUCGCAGACUCUGCUGACGUGGUCAUUGUCAUUGUACGCUAUACCGGAAGCUGUUCUGUCGAUAGCCUCGUUCUAGAAGUUAGUUGAACAAAAUCGUUUGCAAACCAUCCAGGCGACACAGAUUCAUGGUCACAUGACAAACGGCAUCCAGCAUCUGUAGCUUGUGCAAACUUAAACAGAAAACGGAAGACACAAUGAAAGAAAAGCUGCCUGUCGCCAGGUACGUGGAGCGAAUGAGCGAGCGAAUCAGAAUGAGGUCAGGCGUGUCGCGGUGACCCCAGUGUGACAGUGUCACGGUGACAUCCCACAAGUAGGGGAAUCGCACACACCACUGCACUGCUGACAGGUCACGUGAUGAAUACAGGUCAGACGAUCAAAGGCCAGAUGGACUUGGAGGUUUGUUUUCAAGGAAAACAUCAAAGCCACCGAUGAGAGCAGCGAGGUGUCGCGGUCUUUGAUGUCCUUCACGACAGUUGCAAACACGCAGGACUGGCAGGAGGCUUCUGCCAACGGUUAUGAAUUGUUUGACUGUGUGGUUCACUGACCUGUGUCCACUAAGCAACAGCGGCCACGGAUGGUCAGUUAUGCUCUAAUUAUGUUCUGACUGGAUACAUCUUUAUCCUCAAAGUUAUGACGUCAGAGUCCAGAAGACACGUGAGGACACCCCACCCACCCCCCAGCGAACAAUGUGUGUGUGUGUGGGUGGGGGGAAGGUUCACCAACGGUGAGUAGAACUUGUCCUCGAGGCAGCUGCUGAGUAUUACCUAGAAUUCUUGAUCCGUUAUUCUUAUAGGGCUCGCACAGGUCGGGGGGGUACACCGCUACAUGUGGGGCAUACAUCGAUACUGGAAAAGCCAGACACCGCUACAUGUGGGCGAUACAUAGUAUAUGUGGCCGAUAUACCUGUACCUAUGCGCGAUACACUGGUACCUGUGGUCGAUAUACCUGUACAUGUGAGCGAUACACUGGUACCUGUGGUCGAUAUACCUGUACCUGUGAGCGAUACACUGGUACCUGUGGACGGGCAGGUCACUCAACUCUCGUCUGAUGUCGAGCUCAUGACGUCCCACCUGUCUACCUCCCUCCGCCCUUUGCAUCCUCCACAGGGAGUGACACGAGGGCCGGUGACAUUCUUGGUGUUGUCAGCAAGGCUGAGCAGCAUUCGUCAACUACCUCCACCUGCUUGGGACUGGCUUCUCUUCGUCGUCGAGUGACGAUGGGACGCUCUGCUGCCCUGACCCUUGCAUCACCUCUCGCUCUCAUCUCCCACCAGUCAUCGACGACGGUAUGACGUCAGCACGGCAGCCAUGGGACAUUGCUGUCUGUCUCACAGGACAACCACCAGUGAGCUUGUACAGGUCAGGAGAUGAACCACCAGGCAUGGAGCCAAAGCUUGCCUCUAAGAUUUCGAAGCUCGUAUCACAAACUCGUGAUGCUCAUACAGGCAACAUGUGUUAACGUUCGUAAAAACAACAACAACAACAAACUAGUUUCUUUUGGGAUUUUAAGCGAUGUGGGUUAACCUUUGGCAGUUUAAGACACUGCAAACAAAACACACAGAACUGAACACAGAACUGAACACACCUCGUCAGCUGACAGCGAUGAACGUAUCACCAACACCCACUCGUCUCUCGUGUUUCUUCGGGAAGCUGUGUAGGAAGGAGGUGUUCACUGUUAGUAAAGUGCUCAGCGGCACGUGCUGCCUGGCGGGGCCUGGUCACGUGACUACAAACAAGACGAGGCAGGGGUGGGGGGGGGGUCGCUAGUUUUCACAGCAGGGAAGUUUUAAAAAAAAUCUUGGAACCAGUGACCGACUGACCCAGGGUGAGCCACACCAGGUGGGUCUAUAUCCAGCGAUGACACAGUACAGCAAACCGGAUUAUUCCUCCCUCCUGUCUUUACACUUUGUCAGCCAAUCCUUCCGCCGUGUCUACGUGUGAUCAAAGCCAUUCAGCCUCCGUUAUCUGUCAGGUAUGGACAUCUUACUGACCUGACCUAGUCUCACAGCUGGAGGGUAGUACAGAUAGACUGUUGGAUCCCCACUGCCCUAUGGUGGUAAGACUAGUCGAGUAGAUAAACCUCACUAACACAAAGUCAGUUAAUCCUGUCACCAGGUACAGAACCUCACUCGACCCUCGUGUGACAAGACCUCACCUGCCUCGCGCCUCCACAAACCCAGUAUUUAUACACAGAACUGAGAGGUUUAUCACCCACGUUUAUACACAAAGCAAAACUAAGGCUUUUGUACAGAACAAAAAGGUUUAUUAUUCACGAACACAAGUCUCUCCCCAUUCAAACAGGUUUAUUAGGCAAAACCGCGGGUUUAUCUUGUAAGUCAGGCUGUCGCCGUCCUCGCUGUCUUACUUUGUUCGUGUGUUCCUCCCUCCCUCGCUCCCUCUGAUCCAGUUGUAAAUAAUCAAUGCAAUUUUCCCGAGGCUUGACCAUCAGAUGAAAGGGUUUAUUUUUAGACUCACAUCUGACUUAAUGACUCAACUCAAUUACUGUAACAGAAAGCAAACUGUCCACGUUACCUUCCAGAGAACAAAAAAAAAAAAAAAAAAAAGAAAAAGAAAAGAAAAAGGACGAAGAAAUAAAGGAAGAGAUGAGAAGAGCGGCUGUAACACGAAGGACGAGACUGGACAGUUAAUCAGACCAGAGCCGACCUUUACCCCGGACUUCACAGGUCAUGUGAGCAGCAGUCAGCCAUGGACGCCAAACUACCCCCACGGUCCACUACCCCCGCGGUCCACUUCCCUCAAGGUUGCACUACCCCCAAACUCCACUACCCCGAAGGACUACUACCCCCAAGGCCCACUACCCCAAAGGUGCACUACCCUGGGUGUGAGCGCGAUGUCGUUGGCGAUGUGACGACAUCGUCAGUGAGGACGUGAGCCUCACCCACGUGAUGUUGACCUUGUGUCCUGCUGUAGUUGCUGUUUAUUUGACGAGUGUCUGAUGUUUAUCUCGUGCUGUCCUCUUGUCCUCCAUCUUUCUUUCAUUGUGUUCUGUUUCACGUGUUGUUGUUGCUGUUGUUGUUGCUCUGAUGUUGUUACGCCACGACCUCCCUUCUGUUUUCCCUGACCCAGCUAAACUUUCUUCCCUUAGAACACAAGGGUGCGACUGGAACAUGCGCUUGGGUGUAUCCACCCCACAAACACCUUGUUUGACCAUUCACACUCACUCACUCACUCACUCACUCACUCACUCACGCGCUCGCAGCACACACACGCGCGCACGCACGAGUGAUUUAAAAGCUGGGGAGGUAUAAAGUGCCGAUCUGUCCAUCCAUCUUAUGACAUUAGGAGUGAUCCGAUGGCUGAGUCAUGGCUAAAGUGGGUUGUGGUCAAGCCAGUAACGUGUGUGCCAGUGACGUGCUUUAGUGACGUAACCCUGACAGGUCACUGUCCAUCUUGGCUAGGCGGCCCUACUCGUCACCAGGUGAUGCGGUGACGCCAGACACCUGUCAGGUAACGCACUCUCCCUUCUGUGUGUGGGUGCUGUGUCGCCGCCAGGACCUCAGUGUUGCCGAUGGUGCAGUAAGAGGAGGGGGAGGAGCAGAGCCACAGGGAGGGGCAGAGUCACAGGGAGGUUCACACAGUAACAACAACUCCGUUAAAUAGAUUCAAAUAACAGCUGGUCCCGAAAAUAACUUUGGAAGUUGUGAGGACAAAAAGAAAAAGAAUUCAAUCAACUGAUGGUGUUGUAGAACUCCGCGCUGUUGCAUUAUUGGUCACGUGCUCGUGCGUGACGGCGCCAUCAGCCACUCACAAAAAGCGGUCCACAGCGCCUCUAGCGGCUGGAAUGUCUGGUCGUCAUCAGUCUUUCCUGUGGACUGCUGGUGCUGAUGAUGCUGAUGAUGCUGGCGACUUUCGCUGGCAGGCAGACUUCUGUAAGAUGGCGCUCUGCACACGGCACAAGCAACCAGCAAACAAUGAAAGACAGGGUUUUGGGCAGCGCCACCUGCCACCUCUCACCUGUCAUCUCUCACCUGCCACUCACCACCUCCCACCUUUCACCAGUCAUCUCCCACCUCCCACCUGCAAGCUGCUGCUGCGGUGGUGGUGGUGGUCCCUUGCUUGACGUCUUGGCUCUCGUUUGUGGAGUUCAACUGUGUCUGGGGUCACGUGUCUACCCGUCUGGGGGAUCACGUGUCCACCCGUCUGUGAGUCCGGGGUGUGUACUGGGACUGGGUGUCGGCCAGGCUGUCCAUUUGACAAAAGUCUUUCCUGUCACCCAAGACCUACUUGCAGCCUGACUGGUCCGCACGCGGAGGCUUUUUAUUCACCUCGUUAAUCAGCUGCCAGACAGAACCCUGUUUCCUCCACGACCAAGUUUUUUUCAUUUCGUGAUGAGGUGACUGGACACACUAACCUGCACGCUGACGUCAGUCACUCAAGCACAUUGAGGAUAACUGGAAAGUUCUAAAUGUAGCAGGAAAUGGCGAACACAAUUACAGGAAUAAAAAGUCUUGAUGGCAGCGGCCAUGUUUUAUGGCCCAGCAGGCGCACGUGCUGGGGGUGAGGAUGCAGUUCACCAUUGACGUCAUAGCGGGGUGGAGGGGGCGCCACCCGAGGGCUUGUCGCCUCACGAAGGCCCGCAAUAGCCGGAGACAGACGGCAUCCGCCGCACGGCGCCACCCGUCCUACUCUAUCUUACGUGGCCACAUCUUGACAAACGUCGACACAACGUGAAGUUUCCGUGCAAGUUAAUUAAUAAACAACGUUUUUUACAAUAAACUUUGUCUUUCCUUAAGUCGCCAGCAAUGAAAAACUGAAUUACGUUGGACUGGGACAAGUCGGCAAACGCCAUUAGCACGGCUUUACAAUAAACACACGACAGCUGAGUGAUCACGUAGUAUUGUAUCGGCCAAUACUACGGCUUGACGUUAUAAUCACGUAGUAUUGUAUCAGCCAAUACAACAGCUUGACGUUACUAUCACGUAGUAUUGUAUCAGCCAAUACAACAGCUUGACGUUACUAUCACGUAGUAUUGUAUCGGCCAAUACAACAGCUUGACGUUACUAUCACGUAGUAUUGUAUCGGCCAAUACAACGGCUUGACGUUACUAUCACGUAGUAUUGUAUUGGCCAAUACAACGGCUUGACGUUGUAAUCACGUAGUAUUGUAUCGGCCAAUACAACGGCUUGACGUUACUAUCACGUAGUAUAGUGUCGGCCAGACACAGAAGGAGCACAAAGGUGUCCUAUGAGCCGCGCAGACAUUACCAAGCCACACAACAAAGAUAAUGACAGGAAAGCAAAAGCGCUAUUUUGAGGUCAGGUAAUUAAUUACGGAAUCAAUGAAGUGUGAAUGAAGACAGGCCAAGCAUCUCACGCGGACGGUGACAGAACUAACCCACGCAAAAUGUCGACAAGCAUCUGAACGUGACCCUUCACCUGCCACCUGAUGUUCACAGUCUGUUCACUCGCUGUACGAGGACUGAAGCUUUCGUCUGACGUCCGUCUCCUCACACCAGACAUCUGACGACCGAGGACCCGCGCGCGCGGACUAAACAGUUGUUUUGCUGACAACGCCAGCAACAAAAGCUCCCAGCAUGCCCUGCGUGGCUUAAGGCGGCGCCACACGGGGUUUCGCAAAAACUGUUUUAUUGAAACAUCAGUUUCCCGAAACCAAGGAAACUGGGUUCAUGGAAACUGUUUCCCCGCUUGCGAUGCCACACGGGCAGACUUGUUUCCGAAAACGUUACAAAGUGCGCGACAGUAGCGUCCCUUGAUUUCUGCAAUGGCGGACUCAGCAGACGACGAGAUGCUGAUGCUUACAGCAGCACUUCAUGUACUAAAAGAAAAAGAAGACAAAGCGAAGGUGGUGGGUAAGACCAUAGCUUAAAAGAAGAGCCAAGCAGGGGCGCCUACAAUUGUCUGAUGCGGGAGCUGAGUGCUGAGGAUUCAGAUUCUUACAGCAACUUUGUGAGAAAGGACCCUCAGCACUUUCAGAUGUAUCUCACCUAGCGAAAGGCUUGCUGUGACGCUGAGAUUUCUAGCUGCAGGAGACAGUUACCAGUCCUUGGUUUUUCUUUAUUGUCUGGGGAAAAGUACCAUUGGUGAAAUCAUUCUAAACACAUGUAGAGCAAUUACUGUUGCUCUGAAAGAUCAGUAUUUGAAGGUUCCCAAUACAACACAAGAAUGGGAAGCCAUUGCAAGAGCCUUUGAAGAAAAAUGGAAUUUUCCACACUGUAUUGGGGUUAAAGAUGGAAAAAAUAUUGCUAUGAAGGCCCCACUGAAAAGUGGUUCUAUGUACUUUAAUUAUAAAGACUUUCAUUCAGUUGUUUUGCUAGCCGUGGUAGAUGCAUUUUAUCGGUUUAUUUGGUUUGAUGUAGGGGAAAAUGGAAGAAACAAUGAUGCUGGAAUAUUUGCCUGCACUACACUUUCCAAGGCAGUUGAAAGUAAGACCCUUCAAGUUCCUGCACCAAGGGAACUUGCUCAUUCACAUGUUAAGAUGCCUUUUGUACUUGUGGGAAAUGAGGCAUUCCCACUGAAGGAACACCUUAUGAAGCCAUAUCCCCAACGAGAACUAGGUGAACAUGACAACAUUUUCAAUUAUCGUUUAAGUAGAGUGAGGCGUGUCUCUGAAAAUGCCUUUGGCAUAUUGGUCAACCGAUUCAGACUCCUGUUAAAUACAUUAAAUCUAUCUCCUGAUGUGGUUGCUUGUGUAACAGAAAGCUGUGUAGCUCUACACAACUUUCUUAGGACAUAGAAGGAUGUGGCAUAUGGACAAAAUAUAAAAAAAGAAAUGGAGCACGGGUUAGGGAUAGCUCUGAAGAAAGAAAAAAUUUUUUCACAGGUAAUCAUUCUACUCUUUCUGCAAGAGAAGUGAGAGACAAAUUUCGUGGCUACUUUUGGGCUCAUGGUGAGGUUCACUGGCAGUGGGAUCAAAUAUAAAACUAUUUGUUGCAAUGUAUCUGGCUAAUAGUCCAUGAUCUUUAAGAAUCAGGUUUUUUUUCCUAAAAUAAACUUGCUGAGCUGGUCAGAAACAUUUCAUUUUUUAAAUUUAUUGCCUGUUUAAAAUAGUUACAAUUUAUGUAUAUUUUGUAGCGCUUUUAUAUAUCUGAUUUUGAUAGUUUUGAGCAAUUAUUUACAAUUCAACUCUUUUUGUGUAGUGACAUACAGCCAUCUCACACAUUGUCAUUUAAAUCUGUAUAUUGAUGAAUCUUUUUUUUAUUUAUUUUUUCAAUAAAUGUAUUUUGCAAAUUACAGUGUAUGCUCAGAGAUCUGUUUGUGAUAUACAAUUUAUUAUCUGGUCUGUGAAUAUUUCAUGACAAUUUGAUUGUAGACAAGUUGAGUGGGAGGAGGGUAGAAUGCUCAGUAUUGUUGACAACAAAAUUUUUAUCAAACUGUUAACAGUAGGAUAUUUUGAGCCACCUUAAACAACCUUUGUGAGAAGAUGUAAUAAAUUUAUUAUAUGUUACUAUAUAUAUAUAUAAAUCAAUCU